rnacentral:tRNA from 1 species
CAAUAGCUCAAUUGGUAGAGUACCGGUCUCCAAAACCGGGUGUUGGGGGUUCGAUUCCCUCUUGGU